rnacentral:rRNA from 1 species
UGCAGUCGAGCGGACCGACGGGAGCUUGCUCCCUUAGGUCAGCGGCGGACGGGUGAGUAACACGUGGGUAACCUGCCUGUAAGACUGGGAUAACUCCGGGAAACCGGGGCUAAUACCGGAUGCUUGAUUGAACCGCAUGGUUCAAUCAUAAAAGGUGGCUUUUAGCUACCACUUACAGAUGGACCCGCGGCGCAUUAGCUAGUUGGUGAGGUAACGGCUCACCAAGGCGACGAUGCGUAGCCGACCUGAGAGGGUGAUCGGCCACACUGGGACUGAGACACGGCCCAGACUCCUACGGGAGGCAGCAGUAGGGAAUCUUCCGCAAUGGACGAAAGUCUGACGGAGCAACGCCGCGUGAGUGAUGAAGGUUUUCGGAUCGUAAAACUCUGUUGUUAGGGAAGAACAAGUACCGUUCGAAUAGGGCGGUACCUUGACGGUACCUAACCAGAAAGCCACGGCUAACUACGUGCCAGCAGCCGCGGUAAUACGUAGGUGGCAAGCGUUGUCCGGAAUUAUUGGGCGUA